ACGGGAGGCAGCAGUGGGGAAUAUUGCACAAUGGGCGCAAGCCUGAUGCAGCCAUGCCGCGUGUGUGAAGAAGGCCUUCGGGUUGUAAAGCACUUUCAGCGAGGAGGAAGGUGGUGAGCUUAAUACGCUCAUCAAUUGACGUUACUCGCAGAAGAAGCACCGGCUAACUCCGUGCCAGCAGCCGCGGUAAUACGGAGGGUGCAAGCGUUAAUCGGAAUUACUGGGCGUAAAGCGCACGCAGGCGGUUUGUUAAGUCAGAUGUGAAAUCCCCGGGCUCAACCUGGGAACUGCAUUUGAAACUGGCAAGCUAGAGUCUCGUAGAGGGGGGUAGAAUUCCAGGUGUAGCGGUGAAAUGCGUAGAGAUCUGGAGGAAUACCGGUGGCGAAGGCGGCCCCCUGGACGAAGACUGACGCUCAGGUGCGAAAGCGUGGGGAGCAAACAGGAUUAGAUACCC
rnacentral:rRNA from 1 species